rnacentral:lncRNA from 1 species
UGGAGGGUCUGUCAGAGUCAGGGUCAGAGGCAGGUCUAAAAGGUGGAGGUCUGUCAGGGGCAGGUCAAGAAGGUGGAGGUCUGUCAGGGGCAGGGGCAGGUCAAGGAGGUGGAGGUCUGUCAGAGUCAGGGUCAGAGGCAGGUCUAAAAGGUGGAGGUCUGUCAGGGGCAGGUCAAGAAGGUGGAGGUCUGUCGGGGCAGGGGCAGGUCAAGGAGGUGGAGGUCUGUCAGGGGCAGGUCAAGGAGGUGGAGUUCUGUCAGGGUCAGAGGCAGGUCAAGAAGGUGGAGCUCUGUCAGGGCCAGAGGCAGGUCAAGGAGUGGGUGGAGGCUGCCGGUGGUCAGGGGCAGGUCAGGAGGUGGAGGUCUGUCAGGGUCAGGGUCAGAGGCAGGUCAAGGAGGUGGAGGUCUGACAGUAUGUCAGGGCCAGAGGCUGAUGUAGUUUACACCCGUGGAUUGGUACACUUCACCCGGCAGGAUUUCCUGUGUCUCUCAAUCCAAUCCCCAAAGUCCCAACGCAGUAGUCACAAAUAAUGAAACAGCUGAACAGUCAGUCAUUCCUUACUCUGCUACCACCUUGUGGCGCUUUCAUGUAUUUACUAAGUGAAGUGAAAACAGAAAUGCCCAGAGUCGUGUUCUUAUCCUGUAUGGGGACACACAGAAAGGCCCGAGUCGUGUUUCUAAUCCUGGUAUG